rnacentral:rRNA from 1 species
ACGGCCCAGACUCCUACGGGAGGCAGCAGUGGGGAAUUUUCCGCAAUGGGCGCAAGCCUGACGGAGCAACGCCGCGUGAGGGACGAAGGCCUCUGUGCUGUAAACCUCUUUUCUCAAGGAAGAAGACAUGACGGUACUUGAGGAAUAAGCCACGGCUAAUUCCGUGCCAGCAGCCGCGGUAAUACGGGAGUGGCAAGCGUUAUCCGGAAUUAUUGGGCGUAGAGCGUCCGCAGGCGGCCUUGAAAGUCUGUUGUUAAAGCGUGGAGCUCAACUCCAUUUCAGCAAUGGAAACUACAAGGCUAGAGUGUGGUAGGGGCAGAGGGAAUUCCCGGUGUAGCGGUGAAAUGCGUAGAUAUCGGGAAGAACACCAGUGGCGAAGGCGCUCUGCUGGGCCAUAACUGACGCUCAUGGACGAAAGCCAGGGGAGCGAAAGGGAUUAGAUACCCCUGUAGUCCUGGCCGUAAACGAUGAACACUAGGUGUCGGGAGAAUUAACCCUUUCGGUGUCGUAGCCAACGCGUUAAGUGUUCCGCCUGGGGAGUACGCACGCAAGUGUGAAACUCAAAGGAAUUGACGGGGGCCCGCACAAGCGGUGGAGUAUGUGGUUUAAUUCGAUGCAACGCGAAGAACCUUACCAGGGUUUGACAUCCUGCGAAUCCCUUGGAAACUUGGGAGUGCCUUCGGGAGCGCAGUGACAGGUGGUGCAUGGCUGUCGUCAGCUCGUGUCGUGAGAUGUUGGGUUAAGUCCCGCAACGAGCGCAACCCACGUCUUUAGUUGCCAGCAUUCAGUUGGGCACUCUAGAGAGACCGCCGGUGAUAAACCGGAGGAAGGUGUGGAUGACGUCAAGUCAUCAUGCCCCUUACAUCCUAGGCUACACACGUACUACAAUGCUACGGACAAAGGGCAGCAAACUCGCGAGAGCUAGCAAAUCCCAUAAACCGUGGCUCAGUUCAGAUCGUAGGCUGCAACUCGCCUACGUGAAGGAGGAAUCGCUAGUAAUCGCAGGUCAGCAUACUGCGGUGAAUACGUUCCCGGGCCUUGUACACACCGCCCGUCACACCAUGGAAGUUGGCCAUGCCCGAAGUCGUUACUCCAACCCGCAAGGGAGGAGGACGCCGAAGGUGGGGCUGAUGACUGGGGUGAAGUCGUAACAAGGUAGCCGUACUAGUACGAAUUGCAG